CAAAGGCUUGGUCCUGACUUUACUGUCAGCUUUAGCAGUAUUUACACAUGCAAGUAUCCGCACUCCUGUGAGAAUGCCCAUAAUUUCCCAUGUUUAGGAAAUAAGGAGCUGGUAUCAGGCACAAAACAUUUAGCCCAUGACACCUUGCUUAGCCACACCCUCAAGGGAAUUCAGCAGUGAUAGAUAUUAAGCCAUAAGUGAAAACUUGACUUAGUUAAUGCUAACAGAGCCGGUCAAAACUCGUGCCAGCCACCGCGGUUAAACGAGGGGCUCAAGUUGACAAUCUUCGGCGUAAAGCGUGGUUAAGGAAUUAUUUAACUAAAGCCGAAAUUUCUCAUGGCUGUUAUACGCACCCGAGAACAUGAAGCCCAAACACGAAAGUAGCUUUAAUUACCCUGACCCCACGAGAGCUGUGGAACAAACUGGGAUUAGAUACCCCACUAUGCACAGCCGUAAACUUUAAUAAAAAUAUACAACAUUAUUCGCCAGGGUACUACGAGCGUAAGCUUAAAACCCAAAGGACUUGGCGGUGCUUUAGAUCCAUCUAGAGGAGCCUGUUCUAGAAUCGAUAAUCCCCGUUAAACCUCACCCCCUCUGGUCAUUCCCGCCUAUAUACCGCCGUCGUCAGCUCACCCUGUGAAGGAACAAUAGUGGGCCUAGUUGGUAGAACCCAAAACGCCAGGUCAAGGUGUAGCAUAUGAAGGGGGAAGAAAUGGGCUACAUUUCCUGCUUAAGGAAACUACGGAUUGUUGUAUGAAAUUAUUACAUGAAGGAGGAUUUAGUAGUAAGUGAAAAAUAGAGUGUUUCACUGAAUACGGCCCUGAAGCGCGCACACACCGCCCGUCACUCUCCCCAAGCUUAAAUAAAAAAUUUUAUAAUAACCUAAAAAAGCAAAGGGGAGGCAAGUCGUAACAUGGUAAGUGUACCGGAAGGUGCACUUGGAAAAAU
rnacentral:ncRNA from 1 species